GGAGGGGUGGCCGAGAGGCUGAAGGCACCGGUUUGCUAAACCGGCAUACGUGAAAGCGUAUCGUGGGUUCGAAUCCCACCCCCUCCG
rnacentral:tRNA from 1 species